GGGCAUGUGUUUUAAAUGUUUCUUUGUGACUAGGGAUGUUGAGUUGUGUCAAAAGUUCCUGUUUCAUAAUUGACCUUUGCCACCAUCAACUUAUAGAAAAUAGGGUUUCAAGAAGUCAGAUGGAGUGGCCUGCUUUCAACACCCAGAGCUAGUGAUGCAGGACCAGGUCAGCUCCUACCAAGGAUUCCUGCUCACACUGGGACACGUAAGUAAGGUAAGGAGCUGUGGACCUGAGGGGAACAUCUGUCAGCUUCUCCAAAGUCUUCUCAACAAGAUCAUCAUCGCAAGAGCAGGGUCAUGAAAGAAUGCUGGUUGUGGUCCAUGAACUCACAGAAAUUAUAAACCAUCUUUGAGGAAAGAAUCAGUCCAUCUGAAGAGUGUGUUAAAGGGAAAAAUAAGACAAAGACAUGGAGCUGCAGCAAGGGGACAAAAUGGAUGAAGAGGAAAAAGAGAAGAAAACCACAUAUUUUUGCUGUAGAAACAUGUAGUUUCUAAAUGGAUAGCACAACUUAAGUAAGGCUUUUUGCUGUAGAAACAUAGUUUCUAAAUGGAUAGCACAAAUUCUUCUAAAUGAACAAAAUAUGGAUGUAAAAAUACUUAGUCUGUGAAAGCCACACUUUUGAGAACUAAUUUAAUUACUCAAAUUCAAAACCAGUAUUUAAAGGCUUAUGACUAAAUAUUACCUUGUUUGUUACAUUCUGGCUUGGCUUGUUUGUUACAUUCUGCUUACGCUUUUUUUGUUUCACUUUUAUCAGUUCUGCAGACAGGACUAUGGUGCAAAAAAGGGUUUACCAGAAGUGAGUAUUGAGCAACAGUCUCAUCUUAAAAUACUUUUGCAAGUUGUUAUGCAAAAUCAGUUGCAGAAAAAUUAUUGAGCUAUUAAACAGAUCAAUUAUGCUAUCUGCAGUCGAGAUUUGUUCAGCCCGUUCUCUUUCAGAGAAUGUUCUAUUUGUAUGCAUAGAGUAGCCAAUACAUGCUAAAUGUCAGGCCUCUUACAACAAGUAUGCCAAUAUAGCAGAGGAAAGUUUUCAUUUAAUUUGCAUUAAAAUAGAAAUACAAUGGUGUCAUUUCAGGAACUGUAAAAUUUAACUAAUACCAAAACAGUACAAUUUCCACCCUCAUUUUCUAUCCCCUCUUGUGUACCAUGCACAGAAAAACAAGCUUUACUAAACAAGAGAUUUGCUUUUCUAUGAGAGCUACCUGUUGCAUUUUUUUCUUUUCUUUUCUUUUUUUUUUUUUAGUAAUUUUUCUAAGCUUACUUAGAUUUUGACAUUGCUCUUUGAAUGCAGGAGACACGAUGAAAUAAAUUAUUUGCUUUGGAAA